CUGAGCUCCCUGAUACUACAGCGUUUUUAAAAGGAGGCUAUUCCCUAGCCCAAAUGGCCUGGGGCACCAAGCUUCUAAAAACACGGAGUGGAAGAAAGGAAAGGAGAAGGGGCCCCCUGGGGCCUGCAAUUAGGCACUGAGAACUGCUUGUUUUUUGUUUUUUGUUUUUUUUUUUUAACAUAUAAUGAAGGGUAAGAAGAAACCUCUGAAGACCCACAUUUAAACUGUCACCAGAGCCCCAACAGUAUGUAGUGGUGAGACAGUGACCAACGCCCGCCCGCCCAGCAACCUCAGGCACAGUCAUGGACUUGGUCUCCUUUUUGCCAAGUGCUGGCUGACAGACGGAAUCGCAGUAUGAGGAUGAAGUCACACAACAUAAACAUGAGCGCUUAGCGCUCAGGUCUCUUGGCGGAAUGAGGGAACCUUUUCUGCAGUGCGGGGAGAGAACGAGCUCCACUGCGACCUUCCCGGCUCCUAAAGGUGUCUACGGAGGACCAGAGGGGCUGAGGACACGCAGAGGGCACGCAACUGCGGGGUGACCAUCAUUAGCGGCGCCCCCUUUCUCCCUGCCGUUAGGAUGUGCUGGGGCAGAGGCAGAAAAUCUCAGAGCUUCGCUCCCCGCCCCGCCCCCAGCAGGCCAGAUGAUGCUAAAAAGCUGAGGUAUUUCAUCAAAUUACUUAAUUAAAAAUUCAAAGACAGAGAGGAAUCCACUUGAAACCUCAAAACACUCUUUUCAACCAAGCAAGCUUCCAGCAACUAUCAAACUGGUGCUCCUUUUGCCAGGGGAUGCGGUCCACACAAGGACAAAUGAUCCCCAACAGGGGGGCUCUCUACACUGAGGCCGACCCAAAGGGGUUGAUAGCUGAAGGCUGUUUGAAGAAAACAAUCCCACCACUUGAGAUGCCAA